rnacentral:lncRNA from 1 species
AGUUCAUAUAGGUCAGUGACCCGGGCUCCUAGCCUCCCUGUGUAGUGGACUCUGCCUCCAGUGCUUGAGCUGAGAGUUUUCACGUGAGAAGCAGUGGCUGGAAGUUGUACUCCUAGGAGCUAUGAGCGGCAGAUGGAAUAAAAAGGCCUACCUCAUUGGGCUCGUGUGGGUGAGGAGAACUGAAGAGUCUGAGAGCGCGGCACGAGCCAGAGGCUACGGAAAACACUGCCCUCCUACACUCCACCUUGGAGAGACCCAGAAAAGAACAAGCUUCAUUUGUAAAAAAGGAAAACAACUCAGGCAAUGGGGGUGGCUUAAAGGCACUCUACAGUGUGCAGAUGCCUUCCACUUCUUCCAUCUGCCCUGUCUCUCCAAGAACCCCUAUGGCCCCGGUCUCAGAACAGAGCUGAGUGCAGAAAUGAAAAUCUAUGGCUCUGUGUUCCAAAACGAUGAAGAAUUUCAAGAUGGUGGCAGUGGUAAAAUCUUUCUCCAGGAAAAAUCUGUCCUUGGCCCAAUGUGUAAACACUUGCUGAGGAACUUGGAAUAACUUGCAGUGUCUUGCAGUAUUGUGAAACCAGCAACUUGUUCACAAUUCUUCUGAAUUUCUUGGGAAAUUUGAAGUGGAGUACCUGUACCAACAUGAAAUGACACGAAUUUAAGUGACGCUCAACAACGAAAAGCAAAAAGAACCAAAGAGGAAGCAACUGAAACAACAUCUGGAUGUAUUUAAAAAUAUACAAUGCCUCCAAAAUCAGGUGUCAUUAAUGAAAAUUCUGAAGAAAUGCCACCGGACAUAGCCAACGCACCUACGCUGUUGUUAUUCAUUUCCUGCUUUUCACAGAAAACAAUUUUGUUGCAUGGAAGAUCGUGAACUUCAAAGGGCAGAGGGGAAACUGUCCCUUGGCCUCUACCCCUCCAAGGCCCCACUUUUUUGUCAACACUCCUUGGACGCAGCAGAAGUAUGAACAUAAUAUGGUCCUGAAUGAGGCUGAGUCUUUGGGCGCAGAAGACCCGGGUUAAUAAAAAUAGGAAGGUAAGAAAAGAAAAGAAAAA